GACGAACGCUGGCGGCGUGCUUAACACAUGCAAGUCGAGCGGAGCGGCGAACGGGUGAGUAAAGCGUGAGUAACUGCCCCCCUCUCUGGGAUAACAGUUGGAAAGGGCUGCUAAUACCGGCUAGUGGGGGAUGAAUCGCGUCCUAUAACCUUGUUGGUGGGGUAGUGGCCUACCAAGGGGACGACGGGUAGCCGGCCUGAGGGGGGGACCGGCCACAUUGGGCUGGGAUACGGCCCCAACUCCUACGGGAGGCAGCAGGGGGGAAUAUUGCACAAUGGGGGAAACCCUGAUGCAGCAACGCGCGUGCGGGAUGACGGCCUUCGGGUUGUAAACCGCUUUCAGCCAUGACGCGGUAGUGGCAGAAGAAGCACCGUCUAACUACGUGCCAGCAGCCGCGGUAAUAC
rnacentral:rRNA from 1 species